ensembl:Mt_tRNA
UAGAAUGAAGCUCGCUGGUUUGAGCGUUUAGCUGUUAACUAAAAUGUUACGGGAUCAAGGCCCGUCUUUCUAG